rnacentral:rRNA from 1 species
GAAGAUGCAGGUUACCCGCGACAGGACGGAAAGACCCCGUGGAGCUUUACUGCAACCUGAGAUGGAAUGUUUGUUCCGCGUGUACAGGAUAGGUAGGAGCCGAAGAGACGUGUGCGCUAGCAUACGAGGAGGAAAUGGUGGGAUACUACCCUGGCUGUAUGACCAUUCUAACCCGCCACGCUUAGCGCGUGGGGAGACAGUGUCAGG